ensembl:snoRNA small nucleolar RNA SNORA2/SNORA34 family
UAGGCCCUGAAUCAAGGUUGGUAGCUUCCUGAUGCUGUUGGUUUCAAGCAAGAGCCUAAAGAGAUGUCUUUCAAUGGCUUGUGGCCAUUUCAGAACUUGGGCAGUGAAAUGGUCAAUUCAUUAGAAAGAAACAGCU